CUAGCCAUCGACGCGUACGGGUGUUGGGAGACAUAGCCCGGAGAUGGAUUCUGAGACACGAAUCCAGACCCUACGGGGUGCAGCAGGCGCGAAAACUUGGCAAUGCGAGAAAUCGUGACCAGGGAACUCCAAGUGGCUGGGGUAAGACCCAGUCUUUUCUUGACUCUUCAACGGUCUUGGAAUAAGGGGUGGGUAAGGACGGUGCCAGCCGCCGCGGUAAUACCGGCGCCUCAAGUGGUAGUCGAUUUUAUUGGGCCUAAAACGUCCGUAGCCUGUUUGGUACAUUCGUGGGUAAAUCAACCAGCUCAACUGAUUGAAUUCUGCGAGCACGGCCAGACUUGGGACCGGGAGAGGUGUGGGGUACGCUCAGGGUAGGGGUAAAAUCCUGUCAUCCUGAGCGGACCACCUGUUGCGAAGGCGCCACACUAGAACGGAUCCGACGGUCAGGGACGAAGCCUAGGGGCACGAACCGGAUUAGAUACCCGGGUAGUCCUAGGUGUAAACGCUGUGGACUUGGUGUUGGGGACUCUCCGAGAUUCCUCAGUGCCGAAGCGAAGGUGAUAAGUCCACUGCCUGGGGAGUACGGUCGCAAGGCUGAAACUUAAAGGAAUUGGCGGGGGAGCAAAGGGCGA
rnacentral:rRNA from 1 species